GAACUAUGAUGAAAUUUGCCUCUAAUGGCUUACAAGGGUCUGCCAUGUUCAUCUGAUUUGUAUGAUGAGAAAGUAGGCUUCUGAGUUC